rnacentral:rRNA from 1 species
AUUGAACGCUGGCGGCAUGCCUUACACAUGCAAGUCGAACGGUAACAGGUCUUCGGAUGCUGACGAGUGGCGCACGGGUGAGUAAUACAUUGGAACGUGCCCGAUCGUGGGGGAUAACGAAGCGAAAGCUUUGCUAAUACCGCAUACGAUCUACGGAUGAAAGCGGGGGAUCUUCGGACCUCGCGCGGACGGAGCGGCCGAUGGCAGAUUAGGUAGUUGGUGGGAUAAAAGCUUACCAAGCCGACGAUCUGUAGCUGGUCUGAGAGGAUGAUCAGCCACACUGGGACUGAGACACGGCCCAGACUCCUACGGGAGGCAGCAGUGGGGAAUUUUGGACAAUGGGCGCAAGCCUGAUCCAGCCAUGCCGCGUGCAGGAUGAAGGCCUUCGGGUUGUAAACUGCUUUUGUACGGAACGAAAAGGUGCCUUCUAAUAAAGGGCGCUCAUGACGGUACCGUAAGAAUAAGCACCGGCUAACUACGUG